rnacentral:rRNA from 1 species
AUUGAACGCUGGCGGCAUGCCCUACACAUGCAAGUCGAACGGCAGCAUGGAAGAGCUUGCUCUUCUGAUGGCGAGUGGCGAACGGGUGAGUAAAGCAUCGGAACGUACCGUGUAGUGGGGGAUAACGUAGCGAAAGUUACGCUAAUACCGCAUACGCACUGAGGUGGAAAGCAGGGGAUCGCAAGACCUUGCGCUAUACGAGCGGCCGAUGUCAGAUUAGCUAGUUGGUAGGGUAAAGGCCUACCAAGGCGACGAUCUGUAGCGGGUCUGAGAGGAUGAUCCGCCACACUGGGACUGAGACACGGCCCAGACGCCUACGGGAGGCAGCAGUGGGGAAUUUUGGACAAUGGGCGAAAGCCUGAUCCAGCCAUGCCGCGUGAGUGAAGAAGGCCUUCGGGUUGUAAAGCUCUUUCGGCUGGGAAGAAAUCGCACAGGCUAAUACUCUGUGUGGAUGACGGUACCAGCACAAGAAGCACCGGCUAACUACGUGCCAGCCGCCGCGGUAA